GAUGAACGCUAGCGGCAGGCCUAACACAUGCAAGUCGAGGGGUAGAGUUGGCUUGCUAACUUGAGACCGGCGCACGGGUGCGUAACGCGUAUGCAAUCUACCUUAUACAGAGGGAUAGCCCAGAGAAAUUUGGAUUAAUACCUCAUAGUAUUAUCGAGUGGCAUCAUUUGAUAAUUAAAGUUCCAACGGUAUAAGAUGAGCAUGCGUCCCAUUAGUUAGUUGGUAAGGUAACGGCUUACCAAGACUAUGAUGGGUAGGGGUCCGUGAGAGGGAGAUCCCCACACUGGUACUGAGACACGGACCAGACUCCUACGGGAGGCAGCAGUGAGGAAUAUUGGACAAUGGCGCAAGACUCGAUCCAGCCAUGCCGCGUGCAGGAAGACGGUACCUA
rnacentral:rRNA from 1 species